UGAAAUAUUGUACUUUUACUUUAGCAGAGUAAAUUUUGAAAAGCAAAAAAAAAAAAAAAACUGAAACUGAAUCACAACAUUUCACUGAAGAGAAGAAGGGUUCGAUCGACCGAUCUAUAUAAAGGAAGGAUAGGGUCUUCGUUUCACUUCAUCAUCGGGCGUUCGUGAAAGAAAAAUAUACUAAAAAAUUAAAAAAAUCAUUUCCAUCAUCUCAACUCGAAUCCGGAAGAAGAAAGACACCCAGAAGAAGAGAAAAGAGAUGUCUUCGCCAAGCAAACGCAGAGAAAUGGAUAUGAUGAAGCUGAUGAUGAGCGAUUAUAAAGUAGAGACGAUCAACGAUGGCAUGCAGGAGUUCUUUGUUGAAUUCAACGGUCCCAAAGACAGUCUGUAUGAAGGAGGAGUGUGGAAGAUAAGGGUUGAGCUUCCAGAUGCUUAUCCUUACAAAUCCCCUUCUGUUGGUUUCAUCACCAAGAUUUAUCAUCCUAACGUUGAUGAACUGUCCGGUUCUGUUUGUUUAGAUGUGAUCAACCAGACUUGGAGUCCUAUGUUUGACCUUGUGAAUGUGUUUGAGACAUUUCUUCCUCAGCUUCUUUUGUAUCCAAACCCAUCUGAUCCUUUGAAUGGAGAAGCUGCUGCUUUGAUGAUGCGUGACCGCCCUACUUAUGAACUACGAGUUAAAGAAUACUGUGACAAGUAUGCAAAACCAGGGGAAGGUUCAGAAGAUAAGUCUAGCGAUGAAGAACUAAGUGAAGAGGAAUAUUGUUCUGAUGACAAUGAAGAUGAUGAUGCAAUUGCAGGCCAACCAGAUCCUUAGACCUAGAUUUGGCAGAUCACUUGUUUUAUGUAUAUGAUGUUCUAUCGUCAAUCUUAUUUAUCCUUAUAAGUUAACCGAACCGUGAAAUCUGCUCUUUCUAGUUUCUUCCUUUAUGUUUGUUCCACCUGCCCUGUUUAAAUGUACCGGUUCCGGACGUUUGUGUGUACAUUAUUAGACCGAACCGAAUUGUCAAUCUUUCCGAUAUCUAAUAAACAGCUCACUCAUACCGGUUUA